ACGAGGCAAGCAUAAGAACAUAAGCAACAGAAAUCAAGGUUACAUGGCAUCAGAACCCAGUUCUCUCACCAUAACUACACCAUCACACCAGAAAAGCAAGAUUUGGAUCUAAAAUCACUUCUCAUGAUGAUGAAAAUAAACAGGCAAAGGAAGUGUAUAAAACUGUCUAGUAUAUAAAAAUGGAAAUAGAAACAAAGGAAUCACGAAGAUAACCCUGGAGGUAGAAAAUCUACGAAAGAGAUCAGGAGUCAUGCACGCAAGCAUCACGAACAGAAUACAAGAGAUAGAGGAUCUUGGGGGCAGAAGAUACCAUAGAAAACAUUGACACAACAGAUGAAAUGCAAAAAGCUCCUAAUCCAAAAUAUCCAGGAAAUCCAGGACACAAUGAGAAGACCAAACCUAAGGAUAAUAGGUUUAGAAGCGAGCAAAAAUUCUUAACUUAAAGGGCCAGUAACUAUCUUCAACAAAAUUAUAGAAGAAAACUUCCCUAACCUAAAGAAAGAGAUGCCCAUGAACAUUCACGAAGCCUACAGAACUCCAAAUAGAUUGGACCAGAAAAAAAAAAAUCCUCCUGUCACAUGAUAGUCAAAAACCAGAUGCACAAAAUAGAGAAAGAAUAUUAAAAGCAGUAAGGAAAAAGGUCAAGUGACACAAAGUCAGACCUAUCAGAAUUGCACCAGACUUCUCACCAGAGACUAUGAAAGCUAGAAGAUCCUGAACAGAUGUCAUACAGACUCUAAAACAACAUAAAUGCCAGCCCAGAGUACUAUACCCAGCAAAACUCAAUUACCAUAAAUGGAGAAAUGAAGGUAUUCCAUGACAAAACCAAAUUUACACAAUAUCUUUAAUCCAGCCCUACAGAGUGUGAAAGAUGGAAAACACAAACACAAGGAGGAAAAGUACACACUAGAAAGCGCAAGAAAGUAAUCUUUUGACAAACCUAAAAGAAAAUCACCACAUAAACAUAAUUCCACUUCUAACAACAAAAUAAUAGGAAGUAUCAAUCACUUUUCCUUAAUAUCUCUUAACUUCAAUGAAUUCAAUUACCCAAUAAUAAGACAUAGACUAACAGACUGGAUACGUAAACAGGACCCAGCAUUUUGCUGGAUACAGGAAACAUACCUUGGUGUUGAAAACAGACACUACCCGAGAGUAAAGGGCUGGAAAACAAUUUUUCCAAGCAAAUGGUCCCAAUAUAUAAGCUGGAGUAGCCAUUCUAACAUCAUAUAAAAUCUACUCUCAACCAAAAGUUUUCUAAAAGGAUAAGGAAGGACACUUCAUACUGGUCAAAGGAAAAAUUUACCAAGAUGAACUCUCAAUUCUGAACAUGUAAACUCCAAAUGCAAGGCCAACCACUUUCAUAAACUUUACUAAAGCUCAAAGCACACAUCUCACCCCAUACAAUAAUAUUGGGAGGCUUCAAAACCGCACUCAGCAAUAGAUAGAUCAUGGAAACAGAAACUAGCCAGAGGCACAGUGAAAUUAACAGAAGUUAUGAACCAAAUUUAUCUUAUAUAUUUAUAGAACCUUUUGUGAAACCUCCAAAAUUGACCAUAUAAUUAGUCACAAAACAGGCCUCAACAGAUAAAAGAUUGAAAUAAUCCCAUGCACCCUAUCAGAUCACCAUGGACUAAGGUUAGUCUUAAAAACAAAAACAAAAAAAGACACACAUACACAUGGAAACUGAACAAUGUUCUACUCAAUGAUAUCUUGGUCAAGGAAUAAAUAAAGGAAUUAAAGACUUUUUAGAAUUUAAUGAAAAUGAAGACACAUCAUACCAAAACCUAUGGAACACAAUGAAAUCGGUGUUAAGAGGAAAACUCAUAGCUCUUAAGUGCCUCCAAAAAGAAACUGGAGUGAGUUUACACUAGCAGCUUGACAGCACAUCUGAAAGAUCUAAAACAAAAGGAAGCAAAUACACACAAGAGGAGUAUACAGCAAGAAAUAAUCAAACUCAGGGCUGAAAUCAACCAAAUAGAAAACUAAAAGAAUUAUACC
rnacentral:lncRNA from 1 species